rnacentral:ncRNA from 1 species
ACAGUACAAACUGAGCAGGCAUUGGACUUUCGGGUUCAGGAAGCCGGGCCAUAGGAUUUGGCAGCAGAUGAGCAGACGCACAUCUGUGGGACAGU